CGCUCGUCGUACCGAUAACAAGAAGAGCAGCAGCCAUCGCGUUCCUCCGUCUCUCCUCCGCGUUCCUCUCGUUGCCAUGGCCGUUUUCCGGCUCAUCGGCACGAUCAAGAAGCCGUCCGGAGACGACUUUCUCGUAGUCCGACAGGCUUUGCCGCCACCAUUGCCGGAGGAAGAUUGCGGAAAUACGUCGACUCCGAUCUAUGCGACUUGUCUUCGCCCCCGCUGAAAUAUCUGGGGCGAGAGCUCCGGCUUCCAGCCGGCCAUGAACGCCGACUAUCUCUCGGAUUAGCUCGAUUUGAGGAGAUUCCACGUCGAUUCUCCCCUAAAUUUGGUGAUUCGCUUUUUUCCGCUGGGGGUCGUGCUUUAAUUUGUUAUCUCCAUGAUACCGACCCUGUUGAUACGACACAAGAAGAUUGAAAAUUGAGGGCAUUGCAGAGACUGAGAAUCAUCCAUUUUAAAAGCCAUUGAAAAUGAAGCAGAAACUUUAUUUGAUUUAAUUGCCAAGUCAUAUCCUGGUCUGGACAUCAAAUUGUGGCUUCCUGAUGCGUCGAAUGUGAAACUUCAUGUAGAUCACCUAGUCCACCAACAGAAGCUACUGAAGGUAAAAUAGUAUUAGUGUUUAUCCUGACCUUUUCUUCACAAAUAGCUUGCUAUCUGUAGGCUCUGAAAAAUAAGCAUGCAUUACUGGUGAAAUAAUUAUAUUAAAUUUUCUUUAGUCAUCAUCUUUUGUUGUGAAAGAUAUUAAGAUAUGUAUUUUUGAUCAAUCCUGCUUUCCAUAUUUGAAUGCUGGAAGUUUAACAGCUGACAAGUUUUGAAUUACAGCAUAUCAUGCCUGCAUCUAUUAGGUUUCUUUUUCUUUUAAUUUUUUUCCCUGGCAAUAUACCAUGCUGUACCAUAUAAAGUAUUGAGAUGCAUUAAUUGAUAUCAGAAAAUAGAUGACACAGCUUUCUUCUUGGACAUUAAAAUGGCAUGCAAAUUUCUGCCAGAAUUUUUUUCUUAGAAUCUAUAUUGUUUUAUAUAUUGCUAGCUUAUGUUAUGAUGAUCUGGCAUGUUAUAAACUUCUGAGCUUCACCUUUGGUUGUCAUGUGCCAGCUGAACUCUUGAAUAUGCAUUCUCUUAUUAAGAUCACUGGAAACACAUACAGUCGUCAUACUAGCAACUAUAAAGCACAAACUAGCAUCAAAUAGCAUUGUCAGAAAGCAAAGCUUAAAUAGAAAUUACUCUUUCAAAGUAAAUCGGUCUAUGAAAUGUCAUAAUUGCAUCUACAUGUACUUUUAAUGCACAAUGAUGUGCAUCUGCUCUUGCUGGCUUGAUGGAUAUAGAUACAUGACGUCUGAGCUGCAAAGGCCUUAACAUUGUCAGUUCAUUGGUCCAAGCAUGGAAUGGUCAAAAUGCAUCAUCACAAAGUGGUCCUUUAUCAGCGAACUUCCAUGCAUUUGAGAGGGCUAAUUUUAGAAAUCAAAAUCUUAGUAAACUUGAGCAGCAAGUUGCACAGACACCGUCAAAGAGAAAUCUGCAAGCCUUUUACAAAAGUACAGUUGCCAUUUUAUUGCUUAUUUUGAGUUUUAUUAUUGAACCUGUACAUUUUUGAUAAAACUAGAACAAAAAAAGGAUGAAUAUUUUCUUUUGGUUCUUUUGUGUUUUGAUAACAUUGUUUGAUUUUUUUUAUUAACAUUUAUCAUUGAUUAUGAUAUAAUUUGUACUACUAUGUUGUUAAAUAUACAGAGGCAUGUAACUUGUGUUAUGUGAAGUAUGGUACUGAAAUGCUGUCUACAAUCACAUUUGAAGAGCACCUAUGUCGUCAUAUCUUCUAGAAUGGUAUAAUUUUUGAUUGGAAAAAGCAGCAUUAUCUUUCUUAAUAUUUGUGGCUUCAAUUAUGUAUGUUAUUGCUGUUACAUGUAGGUAAUCAAUGUUGAAUUCCAAUGUUUAAACAUGUUAUUUUAUUGCUGUCUAUAAAUCAACUUGUCUUGGAGUAUGCAGGGCUUCUCACUAGAGGAGUUUAAUCAAAAUUAUGAUGCAUUCCUCGCCAAGUUAGGCAUCAGAGACAUGGAAGAAUAGAACUUUGUGAAGCUAGCUUUUUUUCUUCUCUUGGUGGUCUAUAUGCAACUAGGUUCUAGAUUUUUUUUUUUACCAAUCAUUAAUCAGGUUAAAAGGAAGUCAUGCUUUUUUGUACUCUGUAAUAUUGAUGGUACAAACCGAGAAAUGCCUCUGUCCUUAGAUGUAAGCAGCAUGAGAUGCAUGGUUCCAGGUUGAAGUAUUUAUAAGCAUGUCACCCAUCA